CGCCAUUUCUGCAAUUAAUCCCCAAUUCACUUUUUUUAAAUAAAGGUCGCACGUGUAGCGCACGCCCAAGCACUCCCCCCACGGCCCCACCAUCGACUCGUUGCGUCGUAGAGACCCGGCCUCGACCUCGCCCUCGCCCAGGUCGCCAGCGCGGACGUGUCGCCGUCGACGCGCAUCGCCCCAGGCUCCGAGGCGGCGCUGGGAAUGCUCUUAAUUGUUAAUAAU
rnacentral:lncRNA from 1 species